AAAGAAACUAAGGUUCAGAGAUACUGAGAGACUUGCCAAUUAAUAAAGGGGCAGAGCUGGGUUCAAACACCCAAGUUUCUGACUUGAAACACACCUGUUCCACUACCCCACCAACCCUGUGAAUGUGAGCAGCAUUCACAAUGCCUGGAAGCCCCGAGAGGAAACAGCAGAAUUACAGGACUUCAGAUGCUGAACGAGAGGUUGAUGGAGUGAAGAGUGAGGUGAAGAAAAGCAAUAAUAGAACCAAGAUGAGAAUCGUCUGAAGUACAUUGGCCUACAAAGGACCAGAUUCUGGUUCAAGAUGUUGACGUACCCAGUGGAGAUCCUGAAGGAAUGUGAUGCUUAAAGUCAGAGUUGGGAAGAAACUGGGAGGUUUUACUGGGACUCAGGGUUCAGAACGAAGGAUGGAAGAAGAAUUGGGGGAAAGCCAGGUGUCUGCUGAGCCUCCCAAGUGCCUGGAACUGGCAGGUGGAAGAAAUGCAGCUGAGUUUGCCUUUUUAUAAAGGCUUACCUGAAAGCUCCAUCCAGUGAGGCACAUAGCCAUCCCGACUGCAAGGGAGUCUGGGAAGGUGAGUGUUUUAAGUGUCCUGUCACUAAAGUAGGACACAGCAGGGGGCUUUUGAAUUAUUGGUCCAUAAUGUUUGCCACAUCACUAUGCUACACCACUUUAAAAAUGAAAGAAAGGGGCUGGCCUGGUGGCGAAGCAGUCAAAUUCAUAUGUUCCGCUUUGG
rnacentral:lncRNA from 1 species